rnacentral:rRNA from 16 species
CCCUUUGUACACACCGCCCGUCGCACCUACCGAUUGAAUGGUCCGGUGAAGCCUCGGGAUUGUGAUUUGUUGCCUUUAUUGGUGAUUUGUCGCGAGAACUUGUCUAAACCUUAUCAUUUAGAGGAAGGUGAAGUCGUAACAAGGUUUCCGUAGGUGAACCUGCGGAAGGAUCAUU